UACGAAGGGGGCUAGCGUUGUUCGGAGUUACUGGGCGUAAAGGGCGCGUAGGCGGGCAGGUAAGUCAGUGGUGAAAUCUCCGAGCUUAACUCGGAAACUGCCGUUGAUACUAUUUGUCUUGAAUAUUGUGGAGGUAAGCGGAAUAUGUCAUGUAGCGGUGAAAUGCUUAGAUAUGACAUAGAACACCAAUUGCGAAGGCAGCUUACUACACAACGAUUGACGCUGAGGCACGAAAGCGUGGGGAUCAAACAGG
rnacentral:rRNA from 1 species